AACGAACGCUGGCGGCAUGCCUAACACAUGCAAGUCGAACGAGACCUUCAGGUCUAGUGGCGCACGGGUGCGUAACGCGUGGGAACCUGCCCUUAGGUUCGGAAUAACUCCCCGAAAGGGGUGCUAAUACCGGAUAAUGUCUUCGGACCAAAGAUUUAUCGCCUUUGGAUGGGCCCGCGUUGGAUUAGCUAGUUGGUAGGGUAAAAGCCUACCAAGGCGACGAUCCAUAGCUGGUCUGAGAGGAUGAUCAGCCACACUGGGACUGAGACACGGCCCAGACUCCUACGGGGGGCAGAAGUGGGGAAUAUUGGACAAGGGGCGAAAGCCUGACCCAGCAAUGCCGGGUGAGGGAUGAAGGCCUGAGGGUUGAAAAGCUCUUUUACCCGGGAUGAUAAUGACAGUACCGGGAGAAAAAGCCCCGGCAAACCCCG
rnacentral:rRNA from 1 species